CUCCUCCUCUCUCUCUCUUCUCUCCCUCUCGUGCACGCCUUCUUCCUCUCCGUGCUCUCUCUCCCGCUCUCUUCCGCGUUCUCUCUCCCUCUCUCCCGCUUUCUCUCUUUCUCUCUCUUCUCUCCCUCUCCCUCUCCCGCGCCCUCUCUCCCUCUCCCGUGCUCUCUCUCCCUCCCCUGUGUGUGUGUUGUGUGAGUGGGAAACAGAGAGGAGAAAGUAGAGGAAGAGGAGAAGAAGAAGAAGAAGAAGAAAAAUCCCCUUCUUUCUGAUCGCUGACGUGGGUGGUGAUCGUUACCAUGGCGAUGAAGGCAAGACUGCAGCAUAAGAAACAAAUGAGGAUUCCAAGCCACAAACAAUCUGGUGCCACUACUGCAUAAAUGCCUGUCGCAAAUGCAAUCAUCAUACCUAAGAAUGCAAGCGAGACUAAUACUCUCCCAAACUUCGCAUAAAGCCAUUGAUGAGCUUCUUGUUUUAUUGCUAUUGUCGAGUAAAGGUAUGCUGCCAAAAGUGAGCAACACAUAGAAAUGGUGUCAGAGAUCAGGAACACCUGGACUGCUGCUUUUCUGGACAAGACUGCGAGACCCUGUUUCGGGUCAUCAUCAUUUACAUAUCCUCCAGGUAUUGUGAAAGCGGCAGCAAAGGUCACGGUUGCCAUGAGUACUGCCACAAGUGAAAGAUUGCGAGGGUACUCAUCCAACAUUUUCAUCAGCAGCUCAUUUUCCAUGCGAUGAAGAUUCUUUCUAAUAAAAUUUAGUUUACUUGCAUCAUCUUUGGCCCAAACUUCUCUUAGAAUCGAAUGGCUUCCAUACUGAUUGGUAGAAAAUUUUAGUCAGAAUUCACAGGAGUAUGGUAGAUAAAAGAGGGAAGCACAACCUUCGAAAAAAUAGAAAUAUGAGAGCACCGAAAAGAUUCAUGUUCGAUGAUUUGGGCUGAAACUCAUAUGAUAAAAAGGUCUAGUUAUGAAUGUUCUUACCCAUGCGGGGCAUAGGUGUGGCUCUUUGUCCGUGUAGAAAGAUUGUGCAGCCGUGUGACCGUGUUGGUCAGUGACAGACAUGUCUACUCUCUUCGAUCGCAUCAGCUGCCGGAGUAUGCUUGGGUUGUGUUCCUUGACUGCUACGUGCAAAGGCGUUUUCCCCUCAUUGUCCCUUUGGUUUAAUAGCCGGUCAAGUCCCGGGGUUACCACGAGAUGCUGCACCAUCUUAUUUUGGCGUUCGAUGGCAAUGUGAAGAGCAUUCCUGCCCUUCCCAUCAACGGCAUCAACAGCAUCUGGGCACAUCCUGAAGAGCUCCAGGAAUACAGCAACAUGACCCCUUCCAGCGCACACGUGAACAGGUAAACGUCCAUCUCCGUCUGCAACAUAUGCAGCGGACGAAUCAUGUUCCAGUAACAACUGUACCAUCUUCAAAUCUCCCCAGUAUACUGCGUAGUGGAGAGGAGUCUGCCCCCUCUCAUCCUUUUUUAUUUCGGCCCUCGUUUCCAAAAUUGCACGUGCAAUCCCUUACAGAGCAUCAAAUAACAAGAAA